rnacentral:rRNA from 1 species
AUGAGGAGCGGCGGCGACGUCAAGUCCUUCUUCCGGCAGCAGAAGGCCCACUCCGGCGCGGCGGCCACCAAGCCCACCGGCGGCGUCUCCAAGAAGGCGGCGCACCACCACCAGAAGCAAGCGGCGGCGCGCCCGACGCCAGAUCACGGCGGCGGCGCCGACGCGGGGAGGGAGGACGCGGAGGACGCGGAGAGGAAGGCCAGGGAGUUCGACAUGGACAUGCGCUACGGGCCCUGCCUCGGCCUCACCCGCGCCCAGCGCUGGCAGCGCGCCGCCGCGCUGGGCCUCGCCCCGCCGCCGCACGCGCUCUGCUCCGACGACCAGCCGUGCAUCUGGGAGGGCCGCGUCUAG